UAUGCAAAGCAUGUGUAUCUUUUCAUUAAUAGAAGAAGAGAGAAUGAAUACAAAUAAGGUACAACACAUCCACGAACGCAAGGCGUGAACAUGGCGCCCAAAAAUAGAAAAGAGAGACAAAGUGCUUGGCCCGAACAAGCAAACGACACAGCUAAGCCCACUAACUAGAGAGGCAAGUCCAAACCAACAUGAAGUCAGACAGCCACGAAUCAGCACCGGGGACGCCGCGAGCACACAAGACAACGCCUACAGGAAGGUAAACAACGCCGUGAUGCCAUCAUCGUCCGAUCUGAAGAAUCAGACCUAGGGUUUCCCCUAGUGCUCUCGAUCUGAAGAAUCAGACCUAGGGUUUCCCCUAGUGCUCGAAGAUGGGCACGGAGAGAGGCCAUGACAACGUCUUCAGGGAGGGGACGGCACUCGCGAGUGUUGCCGUUGCCAGCAUCGGCAAGCCGAGCAGGGAUUUCUCCCUGGCCUAUAUUUGAGCAAUCCCAAAGCUACCGUACCGGAACCGGGAGUCGGAAGGCACACGUAGAUCGAAGAACCACCAUCACCAGAGGGGAGCCACGCUGGACACGCGAACCUUGGACAUGACGAGGGGUGGGGCAGCGAGGUGGCCGGGGUUGGGGUAGUUGGCAGGGCAAAGGGGGCCGAUGCAGGGGACGCGACGGCACCCGACGACGCCGACAAGCCAGGAACUGGAGGAGACGCAGAUCCGGGUCGCCGGGACCGAGGCCGUCAAGACACCGGCAAGCUAUAGAGGCUGGAGGAGACGCAGCCUCACUAGCGCCGGGGCCGGCGUCGCGCUGGAAGAGGCACCGACAACCCAAGGACACUGGAAAACGCAGGUCGAGGGCCGCCGGGUCCGGAGCAACACCAGCGAGGGUUCCAACGCAAGGGCACGAGCGCCCGCAGAACACCAGCAGGCACGCCGCAAGGGCCGGCCGACGCUGGGGAGGCACCACCGGAUGCACACCAAAAAGCCGCACCUUGAAGCCAUGGCAGCGGCUCGGAAGGAGAAGAGCGCCGUCGCGGGCACCGCAAGGACUGCCCGACACCAGCAAAGGAGCACGCCAUCCCCAAUCCCGGGUCCGGCGCCGUCAGCAGAGAGGAUGCCGGCGGCAGGACAGACAGAUCUGACGCGGAGACGGGGGAAGGCGGAGGCACCUUGCCGGCGGCAGGAGCUCGCAGCGGCCGGUGGAAGGGAGGUCAGGCGGGGGCUGGGGUGUACGAGGCCGCCGGGGACGUGCUGGCGCAGGGCACGGCUGGCAGAGGGCGGCCGGCAGGGGAGCCGAAGCUUGACGAGGCGCCCCGCCGAGCAGUGCGUCAGAUCCGCCCGGCCGCCGCCAUCCUGGGGUCCGGCGCGGCUUCGCCGGCCGACCCUCCGACGACGGCGAGCGGGAGAGGGCGGCGGGGAGGGGGGCUGCUGGGCGGCGGCUGGUUCCCCCGUGUCGCCCGGGGAGGAGGGCGACGCGGGGGUCAGGGAGGGCGAUUGUUUUUAGACUCCUAC
rnacentral:rRNA from 1 species